rnacentral:rRNA from 1 species
GAUCAUGGCUCAGGACGAACGCUGGCGGCGUGCCUAACACAUGCAAGUCGAACGGAGAUGCACUGGUGAAGUUUUCGGAUGGAACCGGGGUAUUCUUAGUGGCGGACGGGUGAGUAACGCGUGAGUAACCUGCCUUUCAGAGGGGGAUAACGUUUUGAAAAGAACGCUAAUACCGCAUGACAUAUUGAGGCUGCAUGGCUUUGAUAUCAAAGGAGCAAUCCGCUGAAAGAUGGACUCGCG